GAUGAACGCUAGCGGCAGGCCUAACACAUGCAAGUCGAGGGGUAGCAGGAUUAAGCUUGCUUAAUUGCUGACGACCGGCGCACGGGUGCGUAACGCGUAUGCAACCUACCUUAUACUGGGGUAUAGCCCGGAGAAAUUCGGAUUAAUCCCCCAUAGUACUAAUGAAUCGCAUGGUUUAUUAGUUAAAGCAUUGCGGUAUAAGAUGGGCAUGCGUCCUAUUAGCUAGAUGGUGAGGUAACGGCCCACCAUGGCUACGAUAGGUAGGGGGCCUGGGAGGGUGGUCCCCCACACUGGUACUGAGACACGGACCAGACUCCUACGGGAGGCAGCAGUGAGGAAUAUUGGUCAAUGGGCGCAAGCCUGAGCCAGCCAUGCCGCGUGCAGGAAGAAUGCCCUAUGGGUUGUAAACUGCUUUUAUUUGGGAAUAAACCUCUUUACGUGUAGAGAGCUGAAGGUACCAAAUGAAUAAGCACCGGCUAACUCCGUGCCAGCAGCCGCCGUAA
rnacentral:rRNA from 1 species